GGUCAGCAUACUGCCGUGAAUACGUUCCCGGGCCUUGUACACACCGCCCGUCACACAUGAGAGUUAGGAAUACCCGAAGCCUGUGAGCCAACUUUAUAAGAGGCAGCAGUCGAAGGUAGAACUAAUGAUUGGGGUGAAGUCGUAACAAGGUAAC
rnacentral:rRNA from 1 species